CUUAAAGAAUCAGCAGGCAACAAUAAGAAGACUUGAAGAACGUAAUCGUCAACUAGAGCAACAGAUGGAGGAAAAAGUGAAGGAAAUUGUGGAGAUGAAACAGCGUAGUUUGGCUGAAGAGAACCAGAAAACGCUAGAAGUUUUAAAAGAAAGGGAGCAAUAUUUACAAGAUCAAUUACGACAAGCUAAAGAAAGUGUUGCCAACAUGCAGAAAUUGCAUGAACUUGCACAAAGCCAAUUGUUUGAAGUCCGUGCUCAAUCAGAGGAAGAAGGGGC
rnacentral:misc_RNA from 1 species